AUUAGGUAUGUGGUUUUUGCUGUUUGCGUCGUGGAUUUGCCCCACCGCUUUGACCAUCUUUCCUACGCGUGUUGGACGGUUUAGAAGACUCCCGUCGAGUCCAACCGCCACGUCCUCCCUUCUUCUUCCUCUUAUGAGAGCCCCAUUUCUAUCCCCGCUGCCCAGAUACUUCCGCGCACGUGCCUUUCCAUGGCCGGCCUUGCUCAUCACCGACGCGCUCCCGCCGUCCCCCACCGCUGCAGUAGCUCUCCUCCUGGACGGCGGCACUCGAACCAGCCGGUUCGCCGGGUCGGCGCACAACGACCAGCAGCACUGGUGGCUGCUCCUCGACCCCGUGGUGAGCGGCCACUGCGAAACGAUGCCGGCCACCAUGCCUCAUCGAAGCUCACCAUGGGUGCUGAGCCAACACCGUCAUCUCCUCUCCACCAAAGUUCUUGAAAGGAGUUUUCGGCCUGCAGGGCCUUGCCCAUGCCGACGCAUAGGCCCGUCAGGCGUCAGCCCCGCCCCUCGCCCUUCACAGCCGGCGAAGACGAGAUGCUCUCGGUAAAGUCGGCGGGCGCCAUCUCUAGGGAAGUGCAGCUAUGGCGUGAGGCAUCGCUCUGCUCGCCAACCUUGGCUCCCGCAGCGGAGAGUACCAUCUCUAGCCUCUUCCUCGAGUUCGUGCUGGGCGGCUCGCUUGCCGAUGAAGUGGAGAGGAACGGGGCAGCCUCGAGGAGUUUGGGCGUUCUCAAGGCGAGGAGAGAUCUGUCGCUAGGCUGCGUCUCCUGGAUGCCCGGGGACGAGUUGAUCCACUGCCUUGUGCUGGUCGUUGAGGGAGUUGUUCCUGCUUGAGAUCUACCACGACACGCUGCACGGCGCCAAUGGGUUUGGGGGCGAGUAGAGGUACUCGCAGCAUGACCCGGUCUUCGCCAAUCCCGACUGCGCUGGAGAACCAAAUACUGCUGUUUGUGUUGGACCUCCUGCUCGGGAUGGAACUCGGCCAUAUUGAGCAGUCGCCAUGGCCAUCCUGGAUGUGCGGCUCUUUUACCCCUUCAUGGCCACCGACACACUAACAGUUUGCUGCAGGGCUUCAUGUACUGAUUGGCCUCCACGGUGCUGAUGUCUUCUUUGUCUCGAUGAUGCCCCUCGGACUGUUCUUCUUGCCCCUGUUCCUGAGAGGAGUACUGCACCUGAGCCUGCGAGGGAGAAGAUGAGUACAUGUCCAACCGCAAGUUAAAAUGUCAUUUUGAGAGUUUGAUUUAAAUAAGCUUCGACAUAUUCUACGGCAGAGGCGCUCCUGUCAUCCCCCGCCAGGACGGUGGCACCCGAUCCUUCGCAUCUGCGGCCGUCGUCGAGACGCUCAUGCCGUCCCCCAGGAUGGUGGCAGCGAGGUCCCGCCUGCUGGUCCGCUUGUGGAGGGAUGGCCUGCUGCUGGUCCGACGUGUGGAGGGAUGCAGCCGUGCCGACAGCAUCCAUUGGCUCGGGCUUGCUUCCAGUUUCUCUCCCGUCCAUGUUUGAGUCGUCAAAGGACAAAGUGAAACUGACUCUCUUGAAUUUUCUCGGCGAAGGUGUCACCCCCUGCGCUACGACAACCUUGACACACUACUGGCAGUCAGCGGCCUCCUAACCCACUACCACAUCAAAUCACUCCUUGGAAUCAUACUCUGAAUUGUUGGGGGAUUUUGGUUUCCUUGCUUAGAUCGGGCAGUGUGCAGCCGCUCCUGGUGACCAUCCAGUUCCAAAAGAGAGUGCUGCUGCAACUGCUGCAUAUGUCCAGCUUUUUAUGCUCCAACUAUUGCUACGUUCAUUGUAUUUUUUCUGUUCGAUCAGGAAAGGAGGGGGAGAGAGAGAGAGCGAGAGAGACAGAUGUCUUGCAUUUUUUAAAUAUUGUGCAAUUUAAAGUAAAUUUAGCAAUUCAUAUGUUAGCAACUGCAAAUAAUUUACUUCAUAGCAUGUAAUGGAGAUACAAAGGGUUUUCACAAGUAAUUUCAUUCAGAGCUAUAUGAUUUUUUCAUAUUAGUUGGCAUUGUUAAAGAUAUUUUGAAAACUGCAUCACGUUGAUAUCUAUUUUGAGAGGAUUUUUUAUGUUUCAAAGGAUCUGUUGCAGAGGCUAAGGUGAUUACUGCAACUUUAGCUAAUAUAAAGGCCACACAAGUUAAAGGUGAGAUGAAGUAUUCAGCUGACAGAGAGCAGUCUUCACAUGCGGCACCAAAUGUGAAGCAGCGUCCAUAUCUCAUCAAACUUGAUAUUACUCUUGCAAUUAAUUCAAGACCAUCUCCUAUAGUUUCGCUACGCCAUUGAGCGGUGAGUAGAAUAUACAAUUCAUCUGAAUCUGUAGUCUUAUUGAUUCCAUGUCCUUUAAAAAAGUCCCCAGAUUGUUUAUUUUCAUCUUGGUGGAUUAUUCCUCAAUUGACAGACCAUACGCUGCAUCUUAUAGACUCUUUUCUGAACUGUUUAUCUUAGGUUGCUUUGUGGAAUGCUUGACAACAUACUUUUGUAGGUUGUGGUAGCAGCAGAGACAAGAAACUCCUUAGGUUGUAUGGUUAGGCAGCUGCCAAACGACCAGUUUGAAACCAAAGGAAGAAGGUUUAUCUAUGGCAGACCUGAAAAUACAAGAGCGGCUAGAACUAUUGGAUCAGCAAAUGCCUACUUUGCAAAAAUAAAGUUACUUGUGGAAAGCAGAACAUGCUAGAAUACUGUAUUGUAGAUUUCAAGAAUCUUUAUGACACAUGGUUAUAUAGUUCACUUUCAUAUUUGUGUGAUAUAAGUAACACUUCGUCACAGGAAAUUCUCUUUUUUCUA